rnacentral:rRNA from 1 species
UACGGAGGGAGCCAGCGUUAUUCGGAAUUACUGGGCGUAAAGCGCACGUAGGCGGCUUUGUAAGUUAGAGGUGAAAGCCUGGAGCUCAACUCCAGAAUUGCCUUUAAGACUGCAUCGCUUGAAUCCAGGAGAGGUGAGUGGAAUUCCGAGUGUAGAGGUGAAAUUCGUAGAUAUUCGGAAGAACACCAGUGGCGAAGGCGGCUCACUGGACUGGUAUUGACGCUGAGGUGCGAAAGCGUGGGGAGCAAACAGG